rnacentral:rRNA from 1 species
GAUCCUGGCUCAGGAUGAACGCUAGCUACGGGCUUAACACAUGCAAGUCGAGGGGCAGCAUUUUAGUUUGCUUGCAAACUAAAGAUGGCGACCGGCGCACGGGUGAGUAACACGUAUCCAACCUGCCGAUAACUCGGGGAUAGCCUUUCGAAAGAAAGAUUAAUAUCCGAUGGUAUAUUAAGACCGCAUGGUUUUACUAUUAAAGAAUUUCGGUUAUCGAUGGGGAUGCGUUCCAUUAGUUUGUUGGCGGGGUAACGG